UUUAUAUUUGUUGGUGCUGCUAUGAAAGACACAGCUCAGAUUCAAAGGGCCAGUGUGUCAAGGGCUGGAAGGCAUUCACAGCUCUGAGGAGUCUCCAGUUUCAGGCAUAAGCCAAAGUGAAAAUGGAGCAGCAAGAGCAAGACUGGGUAUUUGCUAUGUCUGUAAGCAGAUGAAGGCCAUGGUAAGUGUGGUUUCCUCUAAGGAUGCCUGGCUUUCCCCUCAUCCUUCAGGAGGUGACUGCUCUGCAGAGAGUCAGAAACUCAACUAUAUUUCCACCAGAUUUUUAGAUGCUGGCUCCAUUGGCUUCCAGUGGCUGCAUUUUGAAUAUGAUGAACUAUGAACUAUUUUGAAAACCCCAACAAAGUCACCAGUACGUGCACUGAUAGCAAUGAAACUGUCUUACUGCCUGAUAAUAUCCAUACUGUUACUUUUCAGAAUAUCCAGAGUUUCCACAUCUGAACUGUUUCUGUUGUUAUGGAGUGAUGUGAUGCAUGGCGUGAUUUACUGAAGACAGAACAGAGUUCUGUAUGUUUGUUUAAACAAUCGUUUUAAUAGUAAUAGUUUUAAUACAAAAAUAUAUCAUAGUAGCUGAAUGGAUUCCCAUGAACACAGUGUCCAUGUACUUGGGGUUGUAUAGAAAAGGUCAGGAAUUUGGAAGAAAAUGAAGAGUUAUUCUUCCCAUUUUCUGGGCAGAGAAUCCUAUCAUUAAGAUCUCAAGUGACAAAUCAGGUUGCAUUGGGGAGCUGGUAAAGAAACUAUGACUGAGCAUAAAUUUUAUAAGCCUUGGGGUGCAGUUCCAUAAUGCAGCUGAGCUACUAAACUGUAGCUCCCACUGAAAAGGGAGAUCUUAAUUCCAUCCAUCCAUUCCCUCCUGCCAAUGCUGGUGCUUGUCUGACCAUUCGUUGAGCCAGUUUAGAGUCCAACAGGUGAAAAACCCAACUCACCCCACUCCUGGGAGCAGGAGAAAGGAGUAGGGGAACACCACUGGGUUCUCCUCACUUUCUCUUGUUGUGUCUUUUUGAGUUACUGCGAAGAUCUGAUAAUGUUGUGUGAGCCUGUACCAACACCAUAAUCUCAGGGCAGCAGAGGUUUGAGCAUUAAAGGGGGUCCUGCCCUCCUUUCUACCACCACUACUCUCCUUGUUCUGGUCUGUUAGGGCCUGGCAUGCUUUCGGCAUGGCUGCUUGGAUUUCACCCUUAGAUCCAGAUAAUGCAUCAACAAUGAAACACAGGCUGGGUUUCUCCUUACCAGCUAGGUACUGUAAAAUAAGUAAAUUGUGGGUACAUGGAAGUAACUGAAGUUGGCAGAAAAUGUCAUUUGUGUGGUAUACAUGAAUUGCUUCCUAUUUCUUGUCAACUCUAUAAAAUAACAAACUUCAUUAGUUGACCCAAAUGCAAGUACUAAAAGUAAACACCUCAGCAACACUUUCCUUGGGCUUUGCAGAAUAAAGUUCUAGUAUUUACAGAGCCUGAUUUUUCCA